UGGGGGGAGAAAGAGUUUAGAGUUUGACUUCUAUCAAGUUAGAGGGAUGUAAUAACAUCUUAGGCUUUCCAUUAAAAAUUCAAAGAGACCAUGAGUUUAGAUUCAAGAGUAUGUCUUAGGACUAAGGGCAAAACCAAAAUACACCUGACCUUAACAAAUACAAAACCAAGCCUCCACAAGGUCAUAGUGAUCAGCCAGUAAUUUAAUCAGAGGAAGAAAAAAUGAAUUCAGA
rnacentral:lncRNA from 1 species